UUCCGGUUGAUCCUGCCGGACCCUACUGCUAUCGGGGUGGGACUAAGACAUGCAAGUCGUGCGUCUCUAAGCCAUGGUAGAGACGCGGCGUACGGCUCAGUAACACGUGGUUAACCUACCCUUAGGACGGGGACAACCCCGGGAAACUGGGGCUAAUUUCUGAUAGGUGAGGAGGCCUGGAAUGGUUCUUCGCCGAAAAGGCGUUGAAACCACGCUUUUCAACGUCGCCUAAGGAUGGGGCCGCGCCCGAUCAGGUUGUUGGUGAGGUAACGGCUCACCAAGCCUAUAACCGGUACGGGCCGUGAGAGCGGGAGCCCGGAGAUGGGCACUGAGACAAGGGCCCAGGCCCUACGGGGCGCAGCAGUCGCGAAAACUCCGCAAUGCGCGAAAGCGUGACGGGGCUACCCCGAGUGCCGUCCGCUGAGGACGGCUUUUCCCCGGUGUAAUGAGCCGGGGGAAUAAGGAGAGGGCAAGACUGGUGUCAGCCACCGCGGUAAUACCAGCUCUCCGAGUGGUAGGGACGAUUAUUGGGCUUAAAGCGUCCGUAGCCGGCUUAGCAAGUCUCCUGUUAAAUUCAGCGACUCAAUCGUUGAGCCGCCGGAGAUACUACUAGGCUAGGAGGCGGGAGAGGUCGACGGUAUUCCCGGGGGAGGGGUGAAAUCCUAUAAUCCCGGGAGGACCACCAGUGGCGAAGGCUGUCGGCUAGAACGCGCUCGACGGUGAGGGACGAAAGCUGGGGGAGCGAACCGGAUUAGAUACCCGGGUAGUCCCAGCUGUAAACGAUGCGGGCUAGGUGUUGAGGUGGCUACGAGCCACUUCAGUGCCGCAGGGAAGCCAUUAAGCCCGCCGCCUGGGGAGUACGGCCGCAAGGCUGAAACUUAAAGGAAUUGGCGGGGGAGCA
rnacentral:rRNA from 1 species